rnacentral:rRNA from 1 species
GAUGAACGCUGGCGGCGUGCCUAAUACAUGCAAGUCGAGCGAACGGACGAGAAGUUUGCUUCUCUGAUGUUAGCGGCGGACGGGUGAGUAACAUGUGGAUAACCUACCUAUAAGACUGGGAUAACCUCGCGAAACAGGAGCUAAUACCGGAUAAUAUUUUGAACCGCAUGGUUCAAAAGUGAAAUACGGUCUUGCUGUCACUUAUAGAUGGAUCCGGGCUGCAUUAGCUAGUUGGGAAGGUAACGGCUUACCAAGGCAACGAUGCAUAGCCGACCUGAGAGGGUGAUCGGCCACACUGGAACUGAGACACGGUCCAGACUCCUACGGGAAGCAGCAGUAGGGAAUCUUCCGCAAUGGGGGAAAGCCUGACGGAGCAACGCGGCGUGAGUGAUGAAGCUCUUCGGAUCGUAAAACUCUGUUAUUAGGGAAGAACAUAUGUGUAAGUAACUGUGCAGAUCUUGACGGUACCGAAAGAGAAAGCCACGGCUAACUACGUG